AAAACCACUAAACAUUGCAUAUCAAUCCCCCAAAAGGGACCUAAAUACCCUCCAAAGCCACCAAUCACAGACAAACAACAACAUCGACCCUCUUCACUACCUGAAAACUUUCUCUACACUCACUCAAACCCUCUCCAAAAACCUUAGAAACUUCACAGCUCUGACCACUCUAGACUCCUUUCUCAGACAAACCCGUUAUUUCGAUUCCACAACAUCAGUCUUCGUCAUCGAUUGUUCGUCGCAAUUGAAGAAGCUCGAAAGAGCCAAAACUGUUAUUUCCAAUCCGAAGAUCAAAGGUCGAGUCUCUGAUCAGUUUUUGUAUAGUUUAGUGUCGGACUGUUUAGUUAAAAAUGGUAAAAUUAAAGAUGUUGAGAUCGUAUGGAAUGAAAUUCUAGGGUUUGAAUUGUCGAUUCUGCGAUUUGGUAUGUCUGAUUAUGUUAUAUAUGUGUGCGAGUUUGGUGCGGUUAGUGAGAUCAAGAGAAUUUGUGAGAGAAUUUUAUUAUUGGGUUCUAGGGGUUUGAGGAAGCAGAGCUAUGUUGCUUUGAUUGGGGCUCUGUGUAGAGUAAAUGAGGGUUGGCUAGCUAAAGAGGUUGUUAGACAAGUGUAUGAUAAGGGGCUUAAUGUUGAUAACUUCACUUAUUUUGUGAUGUUUUAGUGUUUUUGUAGAAAUGGGGAUUUAGAUGAAGCUGAUUUGAUUUUGAGAAAAUUGGUGCAAGGAAAUUACCACAUUGACAUAUGUAUAUAUGGGAAUUUCAUAUAUGUGCUUUGCAAAACCAGUAAAUUUAGAGAAGCAAAUGAAUUGUUUUGUGAGUUGGUAAAAAGUGAUUGUUUUGGAGGGUCAAAAUUUGAGUUCUUUAAGGAGGGAAAGAGGGCAAUAUUUCAGUUGAAUUGCAGUGGUGCAGUUCCUGAGAUGAUUGCUUAUGAGACUUAUUUUAGGUCACUGUGUAGUGCGGGAAGGCUUGAUGAGGCGGAAGCUUUGUUGAAGAAGAUGAUGAAGAAGAGAACUGUGCUGGAAAUUUGUGUUUAUGGCUCUUUUAUUAAGGCUCUCUUUUGGUCUGGUUGGGGAGAAGAUGCUACGAAAUUCUUUAAGGUUGAGAGAAAGAAAGGGAUUGUUUGUGUCGAUGAAAUUGCAAGAUUUAUUAUUAUAGGCUAUGUGAAAAAGGGAAUGUUGACGAUGCAUUGAGGAUAUUCAAUGAGAUUGUAACAAGUAGUGGUCUUGUCUAUUGUGUGGAUAUUUGUAACCACAUACUCGGUGGUUACUGGAAAGUAGGAAGAGUUGCAGAUGCAGAGAAGUUUUUUGAUCAGUUGCAGGAUGGUUGUUUUGUAGUGCCAAAUUUGUCUACUUAUAAGACUAUGGUUAGUGGAUAUAGCAAAGAAGGUAAUUUUGAUAAGGCACUUUGCAUUUUUGAAGAAAUGGUGAAUAGUAAUAUUGCAGCGGAUAGGAUGCACAUAUAUACUUCAAUUACAUGAUUGAAAAUGGACAUUUUGUUACCUGCAUAAACUGGAAAGAGUUUUUGAAUUCAAACUUUAUUGGAGAUGAGCAUUGCAUCUCUCUUGACUUAGAAUCAAUGGGUAAACGAGUCGAAGAAAAGAUAUCUGCAUGAUUGGAAUGUUGCCAUUUGGGAACUUCAUAUUAGCUGUGGAAAGCUUGCAACUUGGCGUCCAGGAACUAAGGUCUGCAGUGGGUUGAAGGAAAUCUUUUAUGGGAAGUUGAUCUAUAUGCUCGGUAACAAGUGAAGGAAGGCAGGCUGGGAAAUCUGGUAAAAUAUGGUUCCAUUCAAGGUUUUCCCGGUGAACAUCUAGCAACAAGAGAAUUCAGUAGUAUUUGGAUUUGUGUAGAAGUGUCCUCUGGAAGUGAAAUUUACUAUUUGAAUUGGCCGAAGGAGAGUAAAAAGGUGGUUUAUCCUCCCGAUCUGCCAACAGGAAAGCUGGCGGCUUUCUGGGUUAUCAACUUUCAUUGAAACAAUAAUAAAAUCAAAUAUGUUUGAGACUUUUAAAUGAGGAGUUCUAGAGAUGGGUCUCACUUCAUGAUUUGAUGUUUGAAUGAAGAUUGAGAUUUUUAAUUUUGGAGUUCUAAAAAGAAUUCUAGUGA